CCUACGGGUGGCAGCAGUGAGGAAUAUUGGUCAAUGGGCGAGAGCCUGAACCAGCCAAGUCGCGUGAAGGAUGACGGCCCUACGGGUUGUAAAAUUCUGUUGUCAGGGAGCAAUUGGGUCCACGCGUGGGCUUAGCGAGAGUACCUGAAGAAAAAGCAUCGGCUAACUCCGGGCCAGCAGCCGCGGUAAUACGGAGGAUGAGAGCGUUAUCCGGAUUUAUUGGGGUUAAAGGGAGCGUAGAUGGGUUGUUAAGUCAGUUGUGAAAGUUUGCGGAUCAACCGUAAAAUUGCAAUUGAUACUGGCAGUCUUGAGUACAGUUGAGGUAGGCGGAAUUCGUGGUGUAGCGGUGAAAUGCUUAGAUAUCACGAAGAACUACGAGUGCGAAGGCAGCUUACUAAACUGCCACUGACAUUGAUGCUCGAAAGUGUGGGUAUCAAACAGGAUUAGAUACCCGUGUAGUC
rnacentral:rRNA from 1 species